GAUGAACGCUGGCGGCGUGCCUAAUACAUGCAAGUCGAGCGAACAGACGAGGAGCUUGCUCCUCUGACGUUAGCGGCGGACGGGUGAGUAACACGUGGAUAACCUACCUAUAAGACUGGGAUAACUUCGGGAAACCGGAGCUAAUACCGGAUAAUAUAUUGAACCGCAUGGUUCAAUAGUGAAAGACGGUUUUGCUGUCACUUAUAGAUGGAUCCGCGCCGCAUUAGCUAGUUGGUAAGGUAACGGCUUACCAAGGCAACGAUGCUUAGCCGACCUGAGAGGGUGAUCGGCCACCCUGGAACUGAGACACGGUCCAGACUCCUACGGGAGGCAGCAGUAGGGAAUCUUCCGCAAUGGGCGAGAGCUUGACGUAGCACCGCCGCGUGAGUCAUGAAGGUCUUCGGCUCGUAAAGCUCUGUUAUUAGGGAAGAACAAAUGUGUAAGUAACUAUGCACGUCUUGACGGUACCUAAUCAGAAAGCCCCGGCUAACUACGUG
rnacentral:rRNA from 1 species